AUUGAACGCUGGCGGCAGGCCUAACACAUGCAAGUCGAACGAGUGGCGGACGGGUGAGUAAUUUCUGGGAAACUGCCUGACGGAGGGGGCUAACUACUGGAAACGGUAGCUACUACCGCAUACCAUCAGAUGUGCCCAGAGGGGAGUAGCUUGUUGGUGGGGUAACGGCUCACCAAGGCGACGAUGCCUAGCUGGUCUGAGAGGAUGACCAGCCACACUGGAACUGAGACACGGUCCAGACUCAUACGGGAGGCAGCAGUAGGGAAUAUUGCACAAUGGGCGAAAGCCUGAUGCAGCCAUGCCGCGUGUAUGAAGAAGGCCUUCGGGUUGUAAAGUACUUUCAGCGGGGAGGCGUUACCCGCAGAAGAAGCACCGGCUAACUCCGUGCCAGCCGCCGCGGUAAUUC
rnacentral:rRNA from 1 species